AAAGAAUUUACUUUGUUUCUUGCCUGAAAGAAUUUCCUGUGUCCAUGUUAAGACUGGGGUCAGGAGUUGCGAAUGGGGAGUCGAUGACUCUUCUGAAUCUGGAUUGCAUGAGGAGCAUUAAGGACCAUUCUGCAUGUCUGCUUUCCUGAUAGAUUGGUUAGCUCCCAUUUUAUUUUAUAUGCUGUACAUUGCUAUGCUACAUCUAAAGCCAACAUUUCCGUGACUUCAGAACAAAUUGGAUUGAUUCUAGAAGCCUUUUGGCUUUAUGUAGUUUCUAAAUUGGCACAUGCUGCAUCUGUGCUACUUGAAUUAACAGAACUGUUCAUAUUUUACCACAGAUUAUUGGCAAAUUUUCCUUUAUUACUUGCAAAUGGGUACUUUGGAUAGUGUGUGAGAUUCAGUCAAGUCCUAUCCAUUUCUAACAGGCAUAUUAAAACAUGAUUAUAUGAGGCUAUAUUUUAUGAUACAAAUGAUGAUUUGACCAUCCUGAAAAAUAAAAUACCUUUUUUAUAUCUAGCAACAAGUGUUUUUAAGUGCUGUAUAUAGUUAAAUGUACAACAGGACAUUCCAUUACUGUUAUUUGGAGUGUGUAGUCAGCCCUUUACCUCCAUUUCUGUCCAAAGCCAAACUGCAUGGAGACCAAUAACAGAGGGGCUACACGUAGAAACUUCAUACCUACAAACUGUACCCAUAUAUGCCUGUGCUUUUAAACCAUGUAUAUGUACUUAGAGGCUGGACUGAGGCCCAUACCAAAAUGCAAACUUUCAGUUCUGCUGUUAGCUGUAGAUUAUUUAGCUAGUAUCACAUCAACCUAGGAAGUAAGAGCAAAACAUUUUCAAAUGGUGUGAUUUAAAAAAAAUCUAAAGUAAACUAUUAUUUUUUUCAGUGUUAUUUUCUUGAUUCAUAUUCUAGUAUCAUAGCAAUAAUAUCUGUAGCAUUGGUGUUCACUUGCAAUAAAACAGCUUCUGAGGUUA